rnacentral:lncRNA from 1 species
CAGCUUUUGCAUGCCUGGAGCUUCUCUGUGCUUUGGCUUCUGACGGUCCACACCUGUGACUCUUUUAAGACAUCAUUUUUUUGGCUACUGGAGCUUCUUUGCCCUGACAUGUGGAGCCAGAAGUACCUGGGGUUACGUUUCCCAGGGUGAGGGUUGGGGGCUUAGUCAAUAACUGCCUGGUGCUGGCGUGUGAAAACCAAGCUUCCUUGCCUCCAGUUGAAACAAACUGAGUUAUAAUUUAUACUUUGGAGCUCCCCUGAAGGAUCAUGCUGAAGCUGGGAGUUGGCUUGGAAUAGCAUCCUUGUUUGGCUUCUUCCCCUUCCCUGGCCUGCUUCUCACACUCCCUUCCUGGUUUCUCCAAGGAGCAUGAAAGACAGAAACUAAGACAGCAUUCAGCCUCACUCCUGAUCCUGAGCUGCUCACGACUUGGGCAUCCUCCAAUUCCACUGGCUCCAGGGAGGGUAGAGUUAAAUUGAGAUGCCUAUAUCAUGAAUAAUCUUGCAUGGCAGGCUGACCUGAAGCAUCUGCACCCAAGAAGCUUCCAGCCCAGCAGUGGCAGUAUGUGCUUGGCCUCGUCUUCACAGCAGAGGAGGACUGCAUCAUCAGACUGCUUGACUCUCAGCAAUAUCAUGAGACAAAAACAGCAGCAAUGGAAAAGCCUGGGACUCCUGGGCCAAAGCAGCAACAAUAACAAAAUAUUUCCAGUGUUCUUUGCUCAAGGUCAUAGUAGUCAGAACUGAGUCCCUUGAAUCAAACAACCAACACUAAAGUUCUUAGAAUUAUCAUCAAGCUAGACUGUAUGGAAGGAAGAAAGAUAUAUUUGCAAAUAGAAGGUAUCAGGGCUGGGAGGUGUUGGUUAGUACAAAUAAAAAAGUCAUGAGAAAUACCUUUAUUUUGUAUCCCAACCUAGUAGAGCAGGACAUAUCAGUUUCAUAAAUAUUUAAA